rnacentral:rRNA from 1 species
AUUGAGCGCUGGCGGCAUGCCUUACACAUGCAAGUCGAACGGUAACAGGUCUUCGGAUGCUGACGAGUGGCGAACGGGUGAGUAAUACAUCGGAACGUGCCUAGUAGUGGGGGAUAACUACUCGAAAGAGUGGCUAAUACCGCAUGAGAUCUACGGAUGAAAGUAGGGGAUCGCAAGACCUUGUGCUACUAGAGCGGCCGAUGGCAGAUUAGGUAGUUGGUGGGAUAAAAGCUUACCAAGCCGACGAUCUGUAGCUGGUCUGAGAGGACGAUCAGCCACACUGGGACUGAGACACGGCCCAGACUCCUACGGGAGGCAGCAGUGGGGAAUUUUGGACAAUGGGCGAAAGCCUGAUCCAGCAAUGCCGCGUGCAGGAUGAAGGCCUUCGGGUUGUAAACUGCUUUUGUACGGAACGAAAAGCCCCGGGUUAAUACCCUGGGGUCAUGACGGUACCGUAAGAAUAAGCAUCGGCUAACUACGUGCCAGCCGCCGCGGUAA